rnacentral:tRNA from 1 species
GGUUUGUGGCUCAGUGGUAGAGUGCGCACCUAGCAAGUGUGAGGCCCAAGGUUCAACACUCAGCACCA